UUUACUUUUUUCAUUGUCUGCAUAUUUUCAUAAUCUCUAUAUUUUAAUCGGCUGUAUAUUUUAAUGAACUAGAUAUAGGAAUAUGUGGUAUGAGUAGCAAUGAGACAACUUUCCAUCUUAAUAACAAUUUAUUAAAGUUAACCAUUAUAGGUCAAGGUACGGCCUUCAACACGGAGCCUUGGCUCACACCGAACAACAAGCUAUAAAGGGCCCGAAACAUUACUAGUGUAACACCAUUCAAACAGCAGAAGCAACGGUCUAAUCUGUAUUUAAAACCGAGAAAAGAGACACACACAUAAAUUACAUAAACAAACGACAACAACUGUACAUCAGAUUUCUCACUUAGGACAUGUGCAAACAUUUGCAGCGGGAUUAAACUUUAUAAUGGUACCAAACUUUCUACCUUUUCUGAAGCAAUAGCAUAACAUCACAACAUAGAUAAUAAACACACUUUAAAAUAUCAAUUGGAAGGCUUAACUUAAUCAAGCAAACACAAAUUAACACACUAUGAACGAAUAAAUUUGGUCUGCAAUACCUGAAUGCAAAUACAUAGUUA
rnacentral:lncRNA from 1 species